rnacentral:lncRNA from 1 species
GUCAGAGUGUAACUUCCUGGUCACCUGAGGCAGAGAAAGCCUGGGGCCUGGGCCAGGGAGGGGUGGGGUCUUCUGAGGGGGCCUGAGCCCGAGAGGGGUGGAUUCUCCUGAGGGCCUGCUCUGUUGGCUGCUCCUGGUGACCUUGAAUCUACUUUCUGCUGCUGAGAAUUUACCUAUUUUGGAUGCUUCAUGAGACGAUUCCUCUUAGCAAAAGGGCACUGUGUACCCUCCAAGGCUGGAAAUGAUAGGUUUUCGGCGAGGAGUGAAAAUAUUGUGCUGACAGCCCUUUGCCUGUGUAGAGCAGGGUUGUUUACUCGCGCUGGAGCACAGCUUUAUUGAAGCAGAGAGUCAUGGUCCCAUCAUCAGGGUUGCCUAGCAACCAGUCUACGCCACUCCACAGAGUUUCAGAAUGGGCUGGACCACAAGUACCCACUUUGGGGGAUUUCCAGUGACAGUCCUACUCUCACUCCAUCACAUCGCUUCUAAAAUCUGAGUCACAUGGUUCAAAUUUCACAGUACAAAGUGUGUUCUUCAGAUCUGGGGUUCUCUCCAAAAUGGAUAAUCAUUAUUGAUUUUGUAAUGCAAUGCCAAGACCAUCAGUAAGCCUGGACCCACGCCUUCAUCAAUCUACUGUCAGGGAUAGAUUGUGCAUUUUCUGUGUCCCAGUGGGUGCCCCCCCCCCAAAAUAGAGCAGACAAAGCCUGGCCUGCGAGGGUACUGGUUUAGUUCAACAAAUAUCCAUAGAAUGCCCACUUAGGCAAAAUGGCAUAGGGCAGAUUGCCAAAAUCAGGGUUGACUCGGCCUGGAGCCAUGAAGUGGGUCCAACAGGUCUCUGAACUGAGGCAGGAGGCCCCAGGAUCCCGAGGUGUGCUGUAAAGCCUUUGAUGACAGCAUCUUGUGCCUAACACCUGACCACAUCUGAGCCACUAGAGACAGUACCUGAUAAGGAUGCAGAUGCCUGGGCCCUACCUUCCAAAGUUCUGGCUCAGUAGGUCUGGGGGAAGACCAGUAAUCUUCAUUUUAACAAAGACCACUGACGGUUCUGAUGCAGGUGGUCCAAGGACCACACCUGGAGAAACUUCCACCUCUAGGAGCAUCUGGGGUAAAAACUUCACCCAAACUUCCUAAGGUCACAACAUAUCCCCCCCAACAGAGGAAGCAGUAACUUUUGGCCACAGCCCCUAGAGAGGGGAUUUGCCUGGCGUUUCUAUACUGUCCUCUGUCCAAGGACAAAGUGUGCCUUACCCCACAACUGCUUUGUGGUUAAAAGCUUCUAUUGAGGGAUAGUUUAUUUACUUCUAGCACUAUGAAGCAAUAUAGUGAGGUUUUUGUUUCCUUUGAAUCCCAGUCAUUUUAUGCUGCAGAAAAUCUAGAGUUUUUGCCACAGUGGAGGACUCUGCUUAAGGACUACCUAUCUGGGUCUGGUAAUAGCUACCCCAACCCAACGGUCCUGAACGAGUAAUAUGGUUCGACUGUUUCCCUCCCCACCUCCAAAUCUCAUCUUGAAUUGUAGUUCCCAUAAUCCCCACGUGUUGUGGGAGGGACCUGGUGGGAGGUAAUUGAAUCAUGGGGGCGGUUAGCCUCAUGUUGUUCUCCUGAUAGUGAGUUCUCACAAGAUCUGAUGGUUUUAUAAGGGGUUUUUCCUCCUUUUGCUUGGCACUUCUUGCUGCCACCAUGUGAAGAAGGACAUAUUUGCUUCCCCUUAUGCCAUGACUGUAAGUUUCCUGAGGCCUCCUGAGCCAUGUGGAACUGUGAGUCAAUUAAACCUCUUUCCUUUAGAGAUUACCCAGUCUCAGAUAUGUCUUUAUUAGCAGAGUGAGAAUGGGCUAAUACAAUGAGAUAGAACUUAAAUCCCCUGCAUGCUCAUCAGAGGAGGCUCCAUAGAAGAUCAUGGACCUUGAACAAGGUGCAAGUAAGCCUAGAUGCAAUGCAAUGGAUUAGGGAUUCCAGGCUUGAAAACCAGUGGGAAGGAAGGGGUCAGGUGGGAGUGGUCCUCAGUUCCUGUGUGGGCUCUGGCAUCAGGCAGCACACAGGAGUCUUCCCUGCUGGUGGGGAGAGAAAGAGGCAGUAGAAGGGGUCCCGAGCUGGAAGGAUCAGCAGCCACUGCAGACUACUGAUGGAGGCAGUGCCAGGGAGGAAGAGGGUCGUGCCUAGUGGUGUCCAGGCAUUGGCAUGCAGGAGGCAGUCCAGGCACUGGUACCCGGGAGAGUUAAAACUGGGGGAAGGGAAGACAGCAGGGGAUUCUCACAAGGAAUGUGGAGCAGAGGCCCAGGCAGGGGGCCAUCAAGGUGGAGAGGACUGAACCUGGAAAUGGAAGCUUUCCAAGUCACACAUUGAAGAGUAUCAGCAAGGUCUUAAGCCCUGGAACAGUGAGGGAUGGCAUCAGGACAAACUGAGGUCAGUGAGUGUGUUGGCAGCGGACCAGGCUCCGAACGGCACAAACUCCGUCUGGGAUGGGGAAUCUAGCAGAAGACCUAGGAAGAAUUUGAAGAGGGUUCAGAGGUGAAUUAGGGAUGCUUGUAGCUUUUGUGUGGGCAGUGCGUUACUGGGGUGUAGUCCUCAUUGAAGGCCCAAGAUUCUGCCUCUAAGGGUGUAACUCUGCUGAAUCCAGCACCUGAGAGGCUGUCCAGAGCAGGCAGGAGGUCAGCUGUCAGGCUGUGGGCCCAGUUUUAGAGUCAAAUUGAAUUUCCAGUGGGGAAGACCAAAGCUGAAGUCCAUCCCCCAGAGGAUGAGAGAAAGGAAGGCUGCAGCUCAGGCAGCUCAGGGAGUCUGAGGCAGCAAACGAGCUCUGGACCUUGAAGUGGGGAGAGGAAGUCCUUUCACCUCAUCACAGUGCUCACAUCACCUCAGAAACCAGGUGGGACACACAGCUGUGACAGGUGAGAGAUGAUUCCAUUGGUGCCUGGGAUACCAGAUUCAUGCUGGGAAGUAGGAUGGAUGUGGUGGUUUGCAAAAGGCUUUGUCUGCUAAAUUGAGGAUACUGGAUCAUACCCCAAGAGAAAGGGGAGCUCCAAUGGAAAAGCCACCUGCAUCAUGAUGCUGCCUGUCACUUGACUGAGCGUUCCUGCUGCCCAGAAGCUCCUGUUGUCCUCCCAACUGACGGGAUGCUCUUGGACAGUGAUGCCAGCUGGAAUUAAGACUGGGUUUCCAAGGCCACUGUGACCACCAUGAUUAAUGUGAGUAUCGCCAGGUCUUCUCCACACAGGCCCCCUCAGCAUGGUUGUCCCCAAAGCCCUGACCCCAGCUUUUCCUGGUUUUCUGCUUCCUUUAGCAAUCCCUACUGCUAGGGCUCCAACAUGCCUCAGCCAGAAAGCUGUCAUCUCUUUCCUGGGAACAUUCCUUAAGAAAGAACCAUCAUGGGGUUGGAUGAAACUAAACUUGCAAAGAAGGUGAUGUGUAACCAAGUUGGAGUGUGGAGUGUGGGGUCAAAGAUGAUGGCAUUCUGUGUGGAUCCGCAGUGGUAGGAAUGGAGGUGAGGAGGAAGAAAUGAAUCCAGGAGGCAGCGUGACAGAAAACACAGACUUUGGUGACGACAUGUGAGAAGCUGUAAACUGAUAAGAAGAAAAGACGUCUCCAGCACGUUUGGGUUAGUGUCAUCAACCCAUGGAUCCUGCCCACAGCAAGACUUGGCCCAGUCACAACCCCCUUUCUAGCAAUGUGGAGAUAAAUGUCUUCAACAGAAAGGGUUGGGAAUCCCAUGUGACAGCCGAGCUCUGUUCUGCCUUUGACAGAGUCUGAUGCGAAGUGGAUCAUCUCAGGGAUGUGCCUUGCUGGCUUCACCCACCUGGAGCCUCAGGGGAAGUCUCAGGUGGGAGAUGUUAAUUUGAGAGGCCUGGGUAUAAAAGUAAUCCCAAGAUGUCACAAGAUAGAAUACUUUCUCUGAGGCACAAACAGGGAGAAAAACAAGAACAGAACCCCUUAGCAGGACACUCAUAAUAAGAAGAAUUAGGAAAAGAAAAGGGAACCCGGGGUGACACAAAACUGGGGGAGUCUGUUACCACAAGGUAGAUGGCUACCUCCAGUUGGACAAAUUUCCAUGGACCACCAUGCAAUUUCUGGAGAUGCCGCCUUUGAUCCCCUCUUCUCCCUUUGCUCCUCCCUCAUCUCCACACUCAAAGUGCACAUUAUUCAGAUGUCCAGCACGCCCCUAAAUCAACUUGACUUCUCUUGUUCCUUGGCAGAUUCAAGGACCAGCCUUCAUUGGAUUUGGGGUGGAAGCUACAUGCUUGUGUCAAGGGUUGUAAUCCCAAGUCUGGUCCUGUUUUCUGCAAACAAUAUCAUUGUAAACACAUUGAAUGUGUCUGAAUGGGAUUCACAUAACCUAUUCAAAGGUUAAUAUCACAAGACUGAUACUGAGCUGGAAGCUCUGAAAUGUACUUGUGCUCAGGGAAGAUAUUUGCUAAUGUUUGGCUUUAAUUUCCCCUGGAACUUGUACACAUCAGUGAGGCCUGGGGAUAAUGAAUAACAGCAUGGACAAUAAAUUUUAAAACAAACAAAAUAAAAACUCAAAGAACAUUAAUGCAGACCAGUGCUGGGAUAUGAUGUGUGUUACAAGAGAGUAAUGAUUACUCUUGGUGAGCAGAUUCUAUUAUCUGCUUCUUAGGAGCAAUAGGUGGCUGCCUCUUGAUUGUAUUAGUCCUGGAGUUAUAAAAUCCUCAGUCCUUUACAAUGCAAAAGUGACACAUGGGGCGAGUAAGCAGGUAAGAGAAGGAGCAAUUGGAGGAAGAGAAAUGAGAUCUGUGGCAGGGGCUAUUGGCUUUCCACUAAAACCCAUUCUCUACUUCUUGCUGGGCAAGAACUAGGCAGUAUUUACCAGCCCCUCUUGCAUUUGGGGUGGCCACAAACGAAUUCUGGCCAGUGGAGUGAGGGGCUUCUCAGACAGCAGCCUGCCCCUUCCACACUCCUGUUCCCCUUGCAGUGGCUCAAAGCCCUUGGGUGAUGAUGGAGCCAUAGCUGGAAGAAGCCUGGGUCCCUGGGUCCCCCGUGGAGCCUCCACGCGGGAAGGUGGUCUAGAAAUACACUUCCAUAUUUCAGCCAGCAUGCCUUGGGAUCUUUUUUUAAUGGUGGUUCAGCCUACCCUAACUAAAGCUGGGCCCACUCAGCACGCCCCACACAGGGAUUCUGAAAUGGGAGCAGGGUCCACCAAAACUCUGCUUUUCAGAGAGCUCACACCCUAGGGGAGUAUAAAAGUGACGAGGACACUGGAGCUGGCAGGCAAGACCCAGGAUGCCAAAAUUAGGGCCCCUAAACACAGCAGGGAGGGUGAGCUAUCCUCUUGUGAGGUGGGAGGAGGGUCUCCGUGAGCAGGGCUCUUCUUGGGCCAAACCUGGAUCAUGAGGAGGAGGGAGAGAUGCUGAAUAUGACAUGUCAUUCAAAGUGCUGUCUGGAAAUUUGAGUUCGUUUCUUCAGUAGAGGCAGCACAGGUUAAUCAGACAAACCAGCCAUCAACAGGCUUCCUUUGAGGAGCUUGGUAAGAAUGGAAAACCCAGGGCUGAGGGGCUUACAGAGCUUACAGAGCAGCACAGUAUCAGGGGCCCAAGGCACCAGGAGCUCCUCUGGAAAUUGGCGGGAACAGCUGGAGCAAAGCCGAGGUGAUGGUACCCCUGGUGGCGGGACGGCAGCGACCCUCCAUGGUAUAAGGAGUGGUGAGACCCCAAGGGACAGUGUGCAAGGACUCUGAUGGCAGCAACACUCCUCUAGGAGCUGAUGAGAAAGGCCUGGAAUCCCAAGAUGCACCCCUGAGGUUCAACUCCUACCCUGAUCAUCUCCUCCAAGAUUCUGUGACCUGGGGAAGUCAACAGUACAUUUCAACACCUAUGAUGUCAGCAUGUGAAUGACAUUCCAAUGCUGCUCAUGGGGUCACCCCUGCAAAGGUGAACUCAGUGGAAAGACCUUGCCAAACCGGAAGGAAAACAGGAUACUUUUCUCCAAAAUACUCAUUCAAUAAAUAUUUGCUUAGGCAUUACAAAGACAAAUAAGACUUGCCCCUACCUGUUAGAGGUAUGUAUGUCGAGAAAAGGAAGGAGUGAUUCAAUAAGAGAAACAGCAUUCAGGGAAGAGAAAGAAGGAAGACAUAAAAAUUCAGGUCAUAUUAGAAUAAUAUAUAUAACAAUGAGUUUGGCUAUAUUUCAGAAUUUUCCCAAAAUAUUUCUUUCAAAUUUGAUUGACAUUCUAAACUAUUUAGCUUGAUAUAAAUGAGAUCUUUGUGUACCCUCAGCAGGAACUGCAUUUUAGCUGGUUUUAAAUCUCAACAAUCACUUUCCUGCCUUGGAGAAGGUAUGAACCAGGCUGUUUAUGUAGAAUCCAGGUGGGUUUGAGAGCAGCUUCAGCUGAAUGGAGAGUGACAGGGAGGCUGAGGAAGGGAGGGAGGGGACCCAUGGGCUGUCAUACCCGGGGACUUAGGAAGGCUCUUGCUCUUGCUGGAAGGGUUGCAAAUCCCUAAACCAAGUAAUCCCAUCCCUAAACCAAGUAAUCCCAUUAAAACAUGAAACAUCCAGAGUAAAAUUAAGUUUAGAAUACUAUUUGCAAAGCCAAACAUAGUCUUACCAUAGGAUCCAGGCAUCACACUCCUUGGUAUUUACCCAAAUGGGUUGGAAACUUCCAUAUAAAAAUCUGCACACAGGCCGGGUACGGUGGCUCACGCCUGUAAUCUCAGCACUUUGGGAGGCUGAGGCGGAUGGAUCACCUGAGGUCGGGAGUUCAAGACCAGCCUGACCAACAUGGAGAAACCCUAUCUCUGCUAAAAAUACAAAAUUAGCCAGGCGUGGUGGCACAUGCCUGUAAUACCAGCUACUCAAGGGGCUGAUGCAGGAGAAUUGCUUGAACCCAGGAGGCAGAGGUUGCGGUGAGCCGAGAUUGUGCCAUUGCACUCCAGCCUGGGCAACAAGAGUGAAACUCUGUCUCAUAAAAUAAAUAAAUAAAUAAAUAUAAACCUACACACAGGCCAGGCAGGGUGGCUCACCCUGUAAUCUCAGCACUUUGGGAGGCCGAGGCGGGUGGGGUGGAUCACGAGGUCAGGAGAUCAAGACCAACUUGGCCAAGACGGUGAAACCUCAUCUCUACUAAUAAUACAAAAAUUAGCUGGGCAUGGUGGCACAUGCCUGUAAUCCCAGCUACUCAGGAGGCUGAGACAGGAGAACCGCUUGAACCAGGGAGUCGGAAGUUGUGGUGAGCCGAGAUCACACCACUGCACUCCAGCCUGGUGACAGAGUGAGACUCUGUCUAAAAAAAAAACCUGCACACAAAUAUUCAUGGUAGCUUUAUUCAUACUUGCCAAAACCUGGAAGCAACCAAGAUGUCCUUCAAUAGGUGAAUGGGUAAAUAAACUGUGGUACAUCCAGACAAUGCAAUAUUAUUUGGUGAUUAAAAAAAAAGAAAUGAGUUAAAAUCUUGGAUUUCUUUUUUUUAAAUGAGUUAUAAAGCCACAGAAAGACCUUAAAUACAUAUUGUUAAGUGAAAGAAGCCAGCCUGCAAAGCUACAUCUAUACAUGACUGUAUGACAUUCUAGAAAAGGCAAAACUAUAGAGACAGUGAAAACAUCAGGGAUUGCCAGGGGUUAAGAGGGAAGGAAGGAUGAAAAGGCAGAGGACAGAGGAUUUUAAGGCCGGUGAAACAAUUCUAUAUCAUACCAGAAUGGUGGAUAUAUGGGCUGGGGCUCAGAAAACAAUACCCCCAAAUGAAUGCCUCAGAAGCAAAAGUUUCUCCUGCCCUCCCAUCCCUGACCUCAUUCUCCCCCAAGGUUAGCCAUAGAAACCAGAAGUCCUCUUUCCCAAGGUGGGUCAUAGAAACUUCCAAACCCCUUUUCCCCAAAGCCAGUCAUAAAACCUAAAAAUAUGACUCUAACUUCCACCCCCACCCCACCACCUUUCUGUGUAAAAAUGUGUCAUAAGGAAAUCAUCUAACCUGCCUUGUUUGGUUGUCGGUCGUAAGACCCCCAUUCGAGAGAGGGCCCUGCCCCGUACCCAGCAGGAAGCAAUGCUGCCCAGAGAGGCCACGAGGAAUCUAGACAGGGCUUGCUGGGGGGCCCCACUCACUCUAUGAGCAUUAGCUCAUUCCCUUUUUUGUCCAAUCACAUUUCUAAAUAUUUUGUUGCACCUAAGCUUAAAAGUGGGCAGAGUCCCCUGCAUCUCUGGGUCUUCGUUCUGAAGGCUCCCCUGUCAUGUAACACUAUGACCAAAUAGAUGUGUGUGCCUUUUCUCCUAUUCAUCUGCCUUUUGUCUGUUAAUUUUCAGUGAAACUUCAGAGGGUGAAGGGGAAGUUUUCCUUGGCCCCUACACGUGUCAUUACAAACCCAUAGAAUGUACAAUGCCAAGAGUGGACCUUAGUGCAAGCCAGGGACAUUAGUCAGUAAUAAUGUUCCACGCUGACGCACAAAUGAAAGUUAUUUUAUUUGUGUGAACAGGAGAGCUGACAUGGUCUGUAUUGAUAUCUCCUGGGCAGGGAGGUGGUGAGCACGGCCCCAGAAUUCUGAACUGCCAGGAGCCAGGCAGCUUUGCAUCCUGGAGCUUGGCCAAUUCAGCCGCCCAAGUUCUGGCCAUGGGUCUGCAGCCCCCUGGCCCUUGCCUGCAUAAGCAGGAGAUGAAUGAGAGGAAGCAGAACUCACACAGGAGGCAGGAGGAAGCCACCAGGAAGCUCACUGGCUCCAGGGGCAGCAGAUCUGGGAUGGGGUCCCAGUUCUCUCCUUCCUCAUUCAUGAAAUGGGGCAAUAACAGUACUUACUUCAUUGGAGGUUCUUGGAGGGAAUAAAAGAGAUAUUAGUUAAAGGCAUGGAGCACAGUCCCUGGCACACUGAAAAAGUUUCAUAAAUGUUACCAAUUAAUUGUUUGUAUUAUAUAAUGUCUUCCUGAUAGGUUUUUGGGAAGGAAUAAAUCAAAGGUGAGAAAAUAUAUACAAAAACCUGACUGAGCGAGAACAUAGCUUACACACAAGAAGUGGCAGCUUGGUGAGCACACUGCUAUGUCAUGUUGUGCCUAGUCAUGACAUAGCCAAGGACUGAUACAGGCGCUCCCAUAACCCAUGGAUGGAUUCCUGCUGGACUCUAUUCAUGAAGGUUCUGAUUCUAAUUUUUUUAAAUCCAUGGAUAAAACAGCUACCAGAAAAUCCCAUUUGGGUUUGCAUGUUGUUCUUUGGCUUCGGUGGACAGCAAUCAUAUCAGUUGCAUUUCCCGAGCUAGAGCUCUGAGGCUUAGUCAUCCCCCUCCCUGGCUGGCUUCCAUGCUGUCUGCAGUGGGAGCAUCUUUUAUGAGAUGACAGGAGGGGACUUCAUGGAUGUGCAGCCUGGGCUGCUGGUACUGCCGGGGCUGCUGGUACUGCUGGGACUGCAGGAGAGGGAUGGUUUCUAUUAAUCCUCACAAUGGGAGGGUCCAGUGGGCUGUCACAGCACAGGCAGGGAAUCACAGGCCUCCCUGGGUGACCAGCUGUCCUGGCUGCUACCAGAUUCGGACUCCAGCAGGCUUUCCCUGGGGGCAGAGAUGACCUUGAUCUCUGGGCAGCUAGGCUUCAUGUCCUUGAUAUUUGUGGCCCUGCAUUGUUGGGGCACAGGAUGCAGAGCUGGGGAUGACUGAGCUUAAACUCCUGCUGCUAUGGAGGGCUGCCUCCUUGCCCUGAAUGCCCUGGGAGCCCUUUUAAAAACACAGGUCCAAGGAGUGAUAACAUGAGGGGCAGCACCUCUGGCCCCUGAGAGAGAAACUUGUCCAGUGAUAUGUGCACAAGCAACAUCUCCAGGCAUUCCUUCCAGACAAGGCAAGAGGCCCCCCAGGUGUGAUAUGUUAGCUACACAUGGGCUUGGUCUGUACUGCAAAUGUGUACUCAGUGAUGGGGCCAUUAGAUAUUUGGUUUCUACAUUGCUGCGAUGAAAAUUUACAAAGAACGUUCAUGGGGAAACCAGCUCCCAUCCAUGGGCAGCAGAGGAAUGUUGUCCAAGACUUACAUGGACAGGUAAGACUAAGGUCUCAUCCCAUACUCAGCAGUUCUGUGACCUUUUACAGAACAUAGGGAGGCAAGAAGGGAAAUGAGCCUUAGUUAGCCUCAGGGAGAACCAAGCCAGGUCUGUUUAGGGUCACCACCUUCACUGAACUGCCCUCCACUGGAGGCUAGGAACUGCAGGACAUGAGUUCAACAUCAAAAUAGUAAAAAUAGUGGCAAAUGUUUAGCAGUGUUUGCAACAUAUCAGGUGUCACAGCAACCUCUGCAGGAGAGGUGAGCAGGGCUAAUAUUUAGCAGGUGCACCCUUGUACUGGCUGCCUGCCAUUUAAUAGGUUAGUGCCUCAGCUGGUUAUUGAAUAUUUUCAACAUCGGCCCUGGGUACUAAGAUUAGUUCCCAUUUUACUGAUUAGGAAAUCGAGGUUAAGAGAGGGUAGGCGAUUUGCCUGAGAUCACACAGCCUCGUGUGUGGCAGAGCCUUAGAUUCCAAGCCAGGCUGUCCGAUGCCAGACCUUCACAGCUAUCCUAUGCUUCCACGGCACCCCGGACUUCCCCUUGGAGCACUUGCCAGUGAAACAAACAUGCCCUGGAGAAAUGCCUGGGAGUCCCACAGUGGGUAGGAGCACCAGCUGUUCAACAAGAGAAGACCAUUAGGCUUCAGGAGGGAGAGGAAGUUUUUUUGGGAAUGAGAGGACCAAGAGAAAUGAGGCACAGGGGAGAUCGGCCCCAAGGCUUGUCCUGAAAAAAGAACAUCAUCUUCUUCUAAGGUCCCGAGCGUGGGAUUUAUCUGACACAUUCUUCCACAUGCUUAUUGCAGGAGGAGCGUUGUGUUAAGUGCUUUGCAUGCAUUAAUUAUCUCAUUUAAACCAAAACCAACCCAGUGUGGCUGAGUGACUAUAUGAUGUCCAUUUUACAGAUGAGGAAAGGGAGGCUGAGAGAGCUUAAAGGACACACCACUUUUGAGUGGCAGAGCUAGGAUGCAAACCAGACCUGACUGCUGUUAAAGCUUGUGAUGUUUGUAGUCAUUCUUCUAUACUGUACCCUCAUAGGAAGUUCAAAAACAGAGAGGGUGGGAUUUGGUCUUUGGCUUUUGUUUAAAUGUAUGUUUUUAUAGAUAUAUUUCCUUAGCCCAUGCUAUGAACCAGGAGUUUCCAUUUGUUUAUUUAACUGAUUUAUUAAGCCUUUUUAGGGGCCAGCCCAGGUUCUGGGCACAAGCUGGAGAAGGAGAGCUGCUGCGGUCCCUAACUCAUGCCUCUUGCGGCAGUGGGUGGGUGUGAAGAGGGAGGAGGGGAGGAGGUGGUGAGAAGUCUGCUUCACAUUAUUCAGAGUUUCCUGUGAGCCAGGCACUGUGCCUGGGGCUAAGUGAUUAUAUCAUUUAGCCCUCCCAAUAGACUCUCAGGUAGACGCUCUCUUAUUUCCACUUUUUCCCAUUUACAGAUGGGGAAAUGAAGACUUAAGAAACUUAGGUAAUCUGCCCAAAGGCUUAUAGCCAAUACAUGGUAAAGCUGAGAUGUGAACUCAAGUAUCUGACUCCAAAGCCUGGGUUUUUUCUCUUUCUCUCUCUCUUUUUUUUUUUUUUUUGAGACAGGGUCUCACUCCUUCACCCAGUCUGGAGUGCAGUGACAUGGUCAUAACUCACUGUAACCUCAAACUCCUGGGCUCAAGUGAUCCUCCUUUCUCAGCCUCCUGAGUAGCUGGGACUACAGGCACACACUUUUAUGCCUGGAUAAUUUUUGUACUUUUUUUGUAGACAGGGUCUUACUGUGUUGCCCAGGCUGGUCUGGAACUCCUAGGCUAAAAUGAUCCUCCUGCCUCAGCCUCCCAAAUUGCUGGGAUUACAGGUGUGAGCCACUGUGCCCGGUCAAAGCCUGUGCUUUGAUUUGCCACCUAAUCCUCCUCCGUUUUAUAUGUAAUGUUAACCCCAAACCUGCAGGGUAGCCGUUAUCAGCCUCAUUUAACUGACAGGGAAGCCCAGUCUCAGAGGGGCCAGAUGCGUGCCCAAGGCCUUGCUGGGAAGAAUGGGAUUCUGGGCCCAGGCAUUCCAGCGCCAAGUCCAGGGCGUGAUUGUUACUCUGCAGUCCCUCUCUGUGACAAGAGCCUCACCGGGAACUCGGGGGUGGGGGCUCCCCCAAGCCUCCUGGCUGGACCCCAUUCCAAGCGUUAGUGUAACAGAUGUUGUGUGGCGGGAGUCUGUUGUGCUCCUGGUGUGUGGCUGGGAUUCAGAGGUGUCUUCAAGCGCUCUAGGAAGCCGGCGGGCGGGGCCAUGGCCGCAGAAGUGAGUGCAGGGAUGGAGAAUACAGGGAGUCCCUUGACCGGAGGAGACUUUGGAGGCAUUUGUGCUGUUCGCGUGAACUCCGCGUCCAUGGCCUACCCUGUGAUUGUCAUCAUUUCUAUGUGAGAAAAAAGCGGCUACUGAUUCACAGCGAAAGGAAACGGACUAGGUUCUGAAACUUCCUGUUUGUCUGGUAUCUGCAAAGAUAUGUGUGUUAUGCAAAUACCCUGACUCCCCAGAACUGCAGGUGUGUACAAACACACACACGCACGCACACACACACACACACACACACACACACACACACCCUCUGCUUGGCCCCAUGCAGUGGGUCUCCUCUGUACCCAGUAAACUGAAACAUGACUCUACUAACAUGGUAGCCAGGACACUGGGGACUCUGCUGUCGGAAUCCCUGAUCAUAGAGACAGCAGCUUUGGCCUUCGGCUCAAAGAGCUUCACAGAUGUCCCUUGUAGGCGAGUCCUGGCUCUGGCUCCUGGCCCACUGCAGAGCCUGGGAGUGAGGCAGGCAGAUAGGCGAGGGGGUCUCACCCAGGCCCAGGAACUCCAUUUUCUCUCAGCCCCAUUCCUCCCUCCCUCGGCUCCCUGACCGUGCUGAACGCAGCUCCCAAGCAGGGGGAGAGUCCAGAUAAUGGCAGAUGUUGAUUGUUUCCUGUUGGUUCACUGUGUCCUUUUGGCAGGCCUUUCUUUCUUUCAAAAUAUAUUCAGGUUUGAGCCUAGCACUGCAGCUUGCUGAGUGGGUCUAUGCUUCCAUAGAGCAGUGGCUUCGGGCACAGGCCUGAGACCCAGCCUGCCUGCGGGCUGCUAGCUGCCAGCUACCUCUGCACUAGGAAGGUUUUUAAACAGCUGAAUGCAAGCUUCAGCGUUAAUAGGUGAAAGUGAAAAUGACAUGUGACUUCUAGACAAUUCUCAUAGAUUCAAAAUAAUUGUUCUCUGUAAUGAGUAAAAUAACACUCUUGCAACAGCUGAAUGCUUUUCUCAUAUUCUGAGUUGCCCGAAUUAGGGGAAAUGGGUCUAAAUGGCUGCAAGAGGCAGUUUUGUCAGCUAGACGUCUUUUUACAAGUAUAUUGCAUCCUUCAGUCUCUUCCUGCCCCACCCUAAGACCCUCACCUGGGAAAUGGGAGGAUGGCUUGGAAGGCAAUUGUCAGGCCUCUGAGCCCAAGCUAAGCCAUCAUAUCCCCUGUGACCUGUACAUACACAUCCAGAUGGCCCGGUUCCUGCCUUAACUGAUGACAUUCCACCACAAAAGAAGUGAAAAUGGCCUGUUCCUGCCUUAACUGAUGACAUUACCUUGUGAAAUUCCUUCUCCUGGCUCAUCCUGGCUCAAAAGCUCCCCCGCUGAGCACCUUGUGACCCCCACCCCUGCCCGCCAGAAAACAACCCCUUUGACUGUAAUUUUCCUUUACCUACCCAAAUCCUAUAAAACAGCCCCACCCCUAUCUCCCUUCGCUGACUCUCUUUUCGGACUCAGCCCGCCUGCACCCAAGUGAAAUAAACAGCCUUGUUGCUCACACAAAGCCUGUUUGGUGGUCUCUUCACACGGACGUGCGUGAAAGCGAUGAAGCUGAGGUUGCAGGAAAGGAGUGAUCACCUGGCUCAGAGCUGGGCCCUAAAAGUCUAGGCCAGAGCCUCCCUGUUGUGAAAGGGAGUGGAAGGAGAAGGGGCUGGGAUGGGUCAAACUGGGUGGAAAGCUAGGCUCUGCUGUUUAGAAGCUGUAUGAUCUUGAGCAAGUUGCUUAACCCUUGCUAAGCCUCAGUUUCCCUUCCUGCAGAAAGGGAUUAUCAUGGGGACGAAAGGGGAUCCAGAACCUGGAGUGGAGGAUAGGGUGGGUAAGUGGAAGGUGUCAUGAGGACAACAUAUGCUGAGACACUCACCACCCUUUCUGAGGGCGCCUCAGCAGCAGGUCACAUGGUGCCUGAAACUCGUUUUUCUGAGUUGUGCUGGUUUGUGGAAUGAAAAGGGAAGCCAGGCUUCCUUCUUACUAGCUCUGACUGCCUUGUUUUAAGGAUCAUUCACCUUCCCUAAGGAUGGGAUAAAGCCUUCCUGUAGAGCAGACCGAUCUCCUUCUUUAUCCCUACAGUUCUCCCACCGUGGCCAUGGCCUUGGGGGCUGUUCUGACUCUUACAUUUAUAUAUCACUCCUACUUUCCCAGCCAGCAGGAUAGAAAACCUGAGAAGGGAAUUCUGCCUUAUAAACAUUUCUUACAGAUGGGGCAGACAGGUUGUUUCUUUUUUACCAAGGAAGCUCAGGGCAAUUCUGGUUGCAGGAAUGUUAAGCACUGAUAAAGAAGAGAAGAAAAAAUAUUCACCCUCCAGGGCCUGGAAUUUCCCCAUUCCUGAGCCCUGGCUUCCCUGUCUGAGAUAGAGACUGUCAGUCAGUCACCUACCAAUUCCCAAUUUCUCUUUCUGCUUUACUAAAAGUACUUGAUUUGGGAUGGGGGUGGGGGGUGGCAGGCAGCAAUACAUCCAAGUAAAAGACUGUACUUCCCAAAUCUCUUGAAACUAGGGACAGCCAAUGAGGUAUAAAUGAAAAUUAUUGGGGCUGGGGUCCCAAAAGCUUCUCUCUCUUUUUUGAGACAGAGUCUCAGUUUGUCAUCUAGGCUGGAGUGCAGCAGCAGGAUCACAGCUGUAAAAUCAAAAGUGUCAAAGACAGGUCUCAAUCAAUUUAGAAAGUUCAUUUUGCCAAAGUUAAGAGCACACCUUUAACCUCAGGUGAUCCUGACAGCAUGUACCCAAGGUGGUUGGUGCCCAACUUGGUUUUAUACAUUUUAGGGAGCAUAAGGCAUCAAUCAAUAUGUGUAAGAUGUACAUUGGUUUGGUCUGGAAAGGUGGGACAACUGAAAGGUGGGACUUCCAAGUCAUAGGUGGAUUCAAAGAUUUUCUGAUUGGCAAUUGGUUGAAAGAGUUAUUAUCGAUAGAAAAGAAUGUCUGGGUUAUGAUGAGGGGUUUUGAAGGGAGGAGGGUAGAAUGAGGCAUGUCUGACUCCCCCUUCCCAUCAUGGCCUGAACUAGUUUUUCAGGUUAACUUUGGAAUGCCCUUGGCUAAGAGGAAGGGUCCAUUCAGAUGGUUGGCGGGGGGGCCUUAGAAUUUUAUUGUUGGUUUACGUGGCUCAGUGCAGCCUUCACCUCCUGGGCUCAAGUGAUCCUUCCAUCUCAGCCUCUUGAGUAGCUGUGGCCACAGGUGCAUGCCACCAUGCCUGGCUAACUUUUUUUUUUGGUAGAUAUGGGGUCUUGCCAUGUUGCCCAGGCUGGUUUUGAAUUCCUAAGCUCAAGUUAUCCUCCUGUUACAGGAAAGGGGUCCUGAUCCAGAUCCCAAGAGAGAGUUCUUGGAUCUCACACAAGAAAGAAUUCGAGGUGAAUCCAUAGAGUAAAGUGAAAGCAAGUUUAUUAGGAAAGUAAAGAAAUAAAAGAAUGGCUACUCCAUAGGCACAGCAGCUUCCAGGGCUGCUGGCUGCCCAUUUUUAUGGUUAUUUCUUGAUUAUAUGCUAAUUAUUUAGUGUUUGCAAAAAUAGCCAGGCUAUAAGGGGUGGAUUAUUCAUGAGUUUUGUGGAAAAGGGGUGGGCAAUUCCCAGAGCUGAGGGUUCCUCCCAUUUUUAGACCAUAUAGGGUAACUGCCAGAUCUUACCAUGGCAUCUGUAAACUGCCAUGGUGCUGAUGAGAGUGUCUUUUAGCAUGCUAAGGCAUUAUAAUUAGCAUAUAAUGAGCAGUGAGGACAAUCAGAGAUCACUCUUAUCACUAUCUUGCUUUUGGGGGGUUUUAACCAGCUUCUUUACAGCAGCCUGUUUUAUCAGCAAGGUCUUUGUGACCUGUUUCUUGUGCUGACCUCCUAUGUCAUCCUGUGACUUAGAAUGCCUACCCUUCUAGGAAUGCAGCCUAGUAGUUCUCAGUCUUAUUUUACCCAGCCCCUACUCAAGAUGGAGUCCCUCUGGUUCAAAUGCCUCUGACACUCCCACCUCAGCCUCCCAUAGUGCUGGAAUUACAGGCUUGAGCCACUGCACCUGGCCUUAAAAGCUUCUUAAAGGGAUCUAAGAAAUUGACUCUCCCCACCCUCUUUCUUAACCGUAAAACACUAAUGUAAUGGCUGGAGUUCUAGCAACCAUAUUGGGCCAUGAGGCAACCUUGAAAAAGGAAGCCACAAACUAAAACAUUGACUCUCAACCUUUAAUGCUGAAAAAAGAAAAAGUAUCCCCUGACAUCCGGGAAAUGGCCUGACACUUUGAGCUAGGGCUUAAUCUUAUUAAAAGCUUGCCUGGCUAUUUUUGCAAACACUGAUGUCAGUCGCCAGUCUGCAACUGUGAUGAAGAGGUCAAAAGAGACCCCUUCCUAACUCUGUCUAAGCACAAACAACUCCACAAAACACUAGACACACCCCCUUCUGGCUCAUUAAGUGACAGGGGCCUCCUUAUCAACUAUAACUAUAGCCUUGAUCUUGUCUUCUGUCCUUAUAGAUAAGAUUUACUAACAUACCCAGCUGCAGAAUUGUCCCAUUUCCAGACAGCAGACAAUGCAGAGCAAGCCCUUCCCUCCUAGACCCUCCCCAAAUUCACCUAACCAAAGCCCAAAGCCUAAAAGUCCCUUUGAACACCUUUUUAGUGAAAUGGUGCCCCCAUGAUAUCUUCCUCAUUGCAACCAGUAAUAAAGCCAACUUGUUCAAAUGCCGGUUUGCAAAUAAAUCACUUGGGGAUUUGUUAAAAUGCAGACUGUGGUUCAGUAGGUCUGAAGUAGAGCUUAUUCUGUGUUUGCCACAAGCACCCAGUGAGGCACUUGCUGCUGGACCAUGGUCCCACUUUGGGUAGCAAGGCAGUUAAGGGUGGCAGAUUAGAACACUGGACAUGCUUAACCUUGACCAUGGGACCACUGUAUGCAUCCUGUUGUUUCUCAGUGAAAAUAUGCCUGUAUUUCAUGUAAGCCCCCGCUAUAUAUGUUGGCUACUAGCAACUUAACCAACACGUUGUCCUUGUCCUUAGAAAAUGUGUGGUUACAGCCAGGUGUGAGCAGGCCUAGACCAGGCUUGGGGAUUUAUUGACCAAAUGUGGUGCCUUUGAGGUGAAACCACAAGUAAUCAGAGAAGCUGAGUCACUCCACUUAGUGGACUGGUGGAAAAUUCUCAAAUGGUCUUAAGCUGGCCCCAUGUUGGGCUGAGGACUAGAGAUCUCAGAGGCUCCACCUGCCCAUCCAAUUGCAGGUGUCUGGGCCUGGCCCCACCUUGCCUUCCUGCUCCAUUGCUCACCAUUCCACACCCAAAGGCACCAUGAUGUUUUGUACCUCCUUGCCUUUGCUCUUCCCUUUGCCAGGGAUGCCCUUCCCACCUUCCUCCACGUGGCUAACCCUCCCUCAGCUCUGCUUCCAGGGUGUCUCCCCUGGUCGCCAAGGGCUGGCUAGUGCCUCUUCUUUGCUCCCAGGGCACCCUGUGCCUUUCUGUGCCCCAACUAUUUCCCAGUUUGUAGCAGUUAUUUAUUUUGUGGUCAUCUUCCCACUGGUCGUCAGCUCCUAGAGGGCAGGGAUCAUGUUUUGGGUUAUUCAUCACUGCAUCCCCUGACAUAGUCCCCAAACCUCGAGAACUAUGAAACUGCACCAAAGGUUCCAGCUCCCCCACAGCCUGCCCUUAACCUUGAGCCAUUUGAAGGGAGAGUAUGAGACAAUAGUGAAAGAAACCCUUCUCUAAUGUUUUCCCCAUUUAGGUUAUGUGAAGUUGGCAGUUCCCAAGGGCUUUAGGCUUGAAGCUGUGGGUCAUACCCCUUCGGAAACUUGGUCCCCAAGAGAAAUGUAUGCUUCUGAAAACCACAGGUGCAUGAAUCGUGUUUAGUAAAUGACUACUAAACUGAAAUCAGGACUUGUCUAUAUCUUGGCUUCUCAAACUUGAAUAUGCUUAUCAUCUGGAUAGCAAAAGCAUUCCUACACGUUGAGGCCUGCCAGCGUGGGUGUCACCCAGGAGCCACUCGGAAAGGCUCAUCGGAAACCACCCCGGACUGACUGAGGCAGAAUCUCUGGGGGCAGGACCCAGGCCUCAGCAUAAAAACUCCAGGUGACGGAAGAGCUCCCACCUAACAGAAAGAAAAUAAAAGAGACUGAGAAACCACAGAAAUAAAGAAGCGCUGAUGACAAUGCCUGCUUGCUGAUGGUUACGAUGAUCAUAGCAGUGUGCAUUUUGUAUGCAUGAAGCCUGCGACUAAAUAAACGUGUGGGGAAAUAUUUGUAAGGAAAUAAGCUAUUAAUAAAAUAAGCUAAAAUCACAGUUGCUGGACUAUGACUGAUUUUUCCCCUUUCUCUCAUUUAAAAUUAAAUAUUUGUAUGACUUGUAUAAUAGAAAAAUACAUGUAUUCAAUCUUAAAAAGAUAUUCUUAUUUUACACUUUACGGGACAAAAGAGGUUGUAGGUUGGAAUGGUUCAGUCCCCUUGUGACAACUCAAAAACAGAGACCUUAAGCCUUUCUCAACCAAUGUUGCGGGACAAGCAGGCGUGUGAGGCGACAAUGCCAUUAGGGUAUUUUUUGGAAAAAUUUUAGUGUGAGAGACAAAAGCCAAAUUCAAACUGGCCUGAGCCAAAAUAGGUAGGAAAGGGAGAAGCGGAGACAGGGAGGAAGAAAGAGAGAGAACAGAAAGAAAAAGGGAGAAAUGUCGAAAGGCAAAAUUACAACACAUUUAGUUAAAUGAUUGAAUUGGUUUUUAUUUGUAAUUCAUGAAUUGGGGCAGCAUCUCCUCUAAAACUUUAGGAAAAGUGCUCUGAUGAGCUAAACAGAGAAGCUUGGCUUUAUAGGCAGAAAAGGGUGAAGAAAGCAGACACAGGGAACAAAAAGCAGAUUGGUAAGCUCAGGUUACUUCAGGUUACUUUCCUUAUAAAGGUUAAAGUAGAGGGGACUUCCUUAUCAUGCUGGCUACAACUGGCCUGUUUGGGGAUUUGCAUAUUAUCUCUCUCUGUCUUGAGUUCUGGGAAGGUCUGAUGACUUAGUUUCAGUUUGGUGAUAUGGAACUUAGCAUGAGUGACUCCAUCUUGGUUUGGUCUACUGGGGCCUCCUGCAGGAGCUCAGCCCAAAUCAGUGACCUCCUAUAAAUUUCAUUUAAUAGAAAAGGAAGGAAGGAAGGAAGGAAGGAAGGAAGGAAGGAAGGAAGGAAGGAAGGGAGGGAGGGAGGGAGGGAGGGAGGGAGGAAGGGAGGAAAGAAGGAAGGAAAGAAAGAAAGUUGCUUAUAAGUUGCUUAUAACUAAAAAGACCAGCUGGACCCAGGAGCUCUGAGGUUGCUUUCAGGCCUCUGUCCAUCUCUUAGUUUUCCAUCCUCAGACAGGCUCUGCCCUGCCUUACAGUCUAGCAUUGUUGGCCAAAGGUGACUGACUGGCCCAGCUUGGGCUAUAUGUCCUUCCCUGUGGCCAGAGAGAUGUGUCUCUGUGAUGGCCAGGCUUGGGUCACGUACUCCCUCCCCUACCAGAAUCACAUGAAAAGAGGGAGGAAGAGCCGCUUUCCACCAAAGGAAACUGAAGUGCUAUUGUCAGAGGGGUUGCUGGGCAGACCAAAAAGAUGACAAUAUCUGCUCCAAUCGCUCGGGUUGUUGGUGCUUGGCAGAUUUGCCCCUACGUCACUUUUCAGAUGUGGAUAAGACUGAAGGUGACCACAGGCUUCCGAGAGGAAAGCUGCCAAUGGGGGUGUGAGAGGAGGGGGAAUUCUUACUCACCAAGGUUAACACUGUGCACACUGUUCUCCGAGGAAGUGGGAAUUUCCACAUGGUGAGUUCCCUUCCCUGUACAAUGAAUUACUAUCUUGAUGAGAAACCCGUGGGCAGCUGGUUGAGAAGAGAAAGGUAUUCUCUGAAUGAGAGGGAAUUUACCACCUUCCUUUCAAUGGUGACAGUUUUUUCUGGUGUCACCGCAGGGUGUGGAUUGAUUCAUAUACAAAUAUACAUAUCUACAUAGAUGCCAUUCUGCUAGCCUCUGCAAAAUGCAUGCCUGGAGACCAUUUCUGCUGCCUAGGAGAUGUCAACUUUGUCACCACCACUCUCUCUCCACCACUCCCACACCCUGCAGGGGCCAGGUGUGUGGGUGGGGAGCUCCCCAGCUGGAGGCCAGAUUAGAGGUCUCUGUGUGGUGGGGAUGGGGAGGAUGGGGUGGGAAUGAGGUGGUAGGCCACUGGCAGUGGUCCAAGUUCCAUCCAGGAUCUGUCCUAGGCCUCUCCCCAGGCUGUCGCUUCCACCAUUGAAUUUCUAACCUGGAUCUCUAAGGUUAUGAAUAUCUCAUUCCCGCAUCCUGGGGUGCUCAGACAUGUCUCCCCUGAGUCUCUAGCUGGGCUCGUGGCUGUGAUCAUUGUCCUCAGAGUUCCAUCCUCCCAACAAAGGGACAGAAGAAACACAGGGCCCACUUUUCUGGAUUCUGAGUUGGAGCCAAGAAAUUCUAUCUGCUGCUUCCUUCCUGUUGAAUUAUCCCCCAAGGACCCCUUAGUCCCUCCAGUCUCCUCCAGAGGCCUAUAGCUGCCCCAGCUCCCCAUGAUGGAUACCUGGCUCUUUCCUACCCAGAGGAAAACGCAGGCCCUUCCCCAGCCCUGCACUGAACUCCUGUGAGUGGCUGAGGAGAUGAGGAGGUGUGAAGAGUGAGUGUGUUGGGGAGGGAGGGGUCCCCUGCCACCAGGUACCAAGGACUUCUGCCAGAUCACCAGAACUGACACCUGGUUCCACCGGCCAGCUGUGAAGUGUCGGCCCUGACAUCAACAGCUGACCUCCCACAGGGCCUAAGGAAACGGAAUUGUGG